rnacentral:rRNA from 1 species
GACGAACGCUGGCGGCGUGCCUAAUACAUGCAAGUAGAACGCACAGUUUAUACCGUAGCUUGCUACACCAUAAACUGUGAGUUGCGAACGGGUGAGUAACGCGUAGGUAACCUGCCUGGUAGCGGGGAUAACUAUUGGAAACGAUAGCUAAUACCGCAUAAUAUUGAUUAUUGCAUGAUAAUUGAUUGAAAGAUGCUAUUGCAUCACUACCAGAUGGACCUGCGUUGUAUUAGCUAGUAGGUGAGGUAACGGCUCACCUAGGCGACGAUACAUAGCCGACCUGAGAGGGGGAACGGCCACGCUGGGACGUAGACACGGCCCAGACUCCUACGGGAGGCAGCAGUAGGGAAUCUUCGGCAAUGGACGAAAGUCUGACCGAGCAACGCCGCGGGAGUGAAGAAGGGUUUCGGAUCGUAAAGCUCUGUUGUAAGGGAAGAACGGGUGUGAGAGUGGAAAGUUCACACUGUGACGGUAUCUUACCAGAAAGGGACGGCUAACUACGUG